UCAACGGGAAUAAUAUUUGGCGCGGAAACUUCUGUUGUGUUGAGAUGUGUACCAAGAGAGAUGAAGGUUGUCAGUAAAUAGCAAUGGCUCCGGCUUCUAACACAGAGAAGUGAAUCUGAACGGAAAGUUACUGUAAACAAACAAGCAUGUUAGCGAGCUAGACAAGAGGGAACAUGAAAAUACGGCUUAGCCAGCAAGCUCAUGCUGUCUGCUAACGUUACAAUAGCUCUCACUAACAGCAAAGAAACUAUUAGCCAGUUAACGUUAGCUAGCUUUUCCAGAAUUACUAGAUUGAGUUACAUUUACACUGAAUGAUCGUAAUAUGAUUAAUUACCCACAGUUAGCUGGCUAGCUACUCUGUGAUGAUGACAUUUUAGAAAGUGGUCUGUCGCUAGCGAAAUUUAGCAACGCGGGUCUGUUUACAUACAUUAGCGUUGCUCCUAUUGUAAUUGGGUUACACCGAAACAGGAAGUCAGAAGUUCCAUUCAACUUUUACAUUUUUUUUAAGCCCUCGAUUUUCAUUGAGUUGUCGCCAACCAUUUUCUCUUGAAGCAUCGCACCUUGCAUUGAUGAGCCUGGAAAGAGUGGCGAUAACAUCAUUAUUGGCAGUGGCAUCUGGGCCCAGUUCCAAACAUGCCUUUCUUGGAAGCUGGAGGUUUGCUUGGGGUUAUAGGCAAAGAAGGAAAAUCCUCGUCUGACACGGGGAUGACUGGUCUGGCAGCUCAAUAUGGCCAAGGGAGAGAAGGUGGUGGAUUUGACCAGUGUGUAUGUAGAGGUGGACGAGGAACUCUCGGAUGGCCAGAGAGGCAGGACGGUGACUGAAUCGUUGAUGAUGUUUUCUUGAAGAUCACACACACAAUGCAGUGGUUCAGCAGGAGAUGAUGCGCUGUCUGCCGCUGACUUCCCACUCGCCAUCUCUCGCCGCUGUCAUCAAAUGGACUCAUGCUAGCAACAAGUUCUGACUGAGCUCUAUUGUCAUGAAACGCCAUACAACUGCAGAGUUUCUCUCUUUCUCGCACAAACUUAGAACGAGGAGCGCCCACAAUGUGUUUUGUGCGGGGGAAGUGCUUACUAAUGAGUCUCUCAUAACGAAGAAAUGAGUAAAAGGACAAGUCCUGACCAAACAUCCACAGCAUGAUGGUAAACCCAGAGAGUUAUUUCAGAACAGGGCAGAAUGCUUCAGGAAACAGUGCUUCAGGAAACAGUGCUUCAGGAAACAGUGCUUCAGGAAACAGUGCUUCAGGAAACAGUGCUUCAGGAAACAGUACUUCGACAGUGGAAAAGUAAGUCAGCUAGCAAGGGAUUGUUGUCAUUUUAUAACAGGUGAUGGAUGAUAAGCAGAAAUAAGGGAGUACUAACUAACUCUCAUAGUAGUAGAUGUGAGUUUCUCUUUCAAACAAUCCGCUGGCCUUGUACACAGCCAAUAGCUAACAUUCACCAAAGUAAGCUAGCUAAUGAUAGUGCAACCCUCAGUAACAGUCCAGAUGAAUAAUGAUCAGGCCUACUGUUCAUCUUACUGUUGAAAAUUAGUCUAGGUUGGAACUGUUGCUGUUAAAAUACAAUAAUAAUUUGUAUUCUUAACUGAAAUAAACUGAUUGAAGCAAGAUGAUAUUUGAGGCAAACACACUCACACAGUUCUGGGUUGUUCGUCUACAACAGGAAGCGGUCUCCUGCCUGACUGAGAAAGCAGUAGAUGUUCUGGUCCCGUUUGGCACCACAUACCUAUGUGAGUCAGGGUGUUCAACUCUAACGUACAGAAACAGUUUCAAGGCUGAGCAUCACCUGAUUGUUGUACUGUCUAAAACAGAGCCCAGAAUAUAGAUGUGCUUGUUGGUCACAUCACACAGAUGUAGACCAUUCUGUUUAUUCCAGUUCAGAGUAAGACAUAUGUAUUGUAUUUUAACAGCAACAGUUCCAACCUUGACUUUCGUUCAACAGUAAGAUGUACAGUAGGCCUGAUCAUUUUUCAUCUGGACUGUUACUGAGGGUUGCACUAUCAAAAUGCUGGCGGGUGGUCCCGGAGUUGAGAGAGAACUUGGGUAAAUACAAUGGUGCAUUUACGCUUGACAUGUGGACUGAUUGAUUUUUGAAAAAUUGGCACGGUGGGCUUUUGGUUUCUCUCCCUCUAAGAAACAUAAAUGGUUCUAAAUAACAAACAGACUAGAUUUACCACAGUGUGAAGGAGUGGUAACCCCUCUUUAGAAAGUGCGUUCUUGAGUCCUUUGCUGAUGUGUAGAAGAAACUGAAAGAGAGUCCAGCGAGGAUAGGGAGGGGGAAAAAGGUGAGCUGAGCUACUUUGUUUAUUUAUGAAAUAUUCUAGUUUAUUUAGGCUAAUUUUCUAAUAUAUAUGUUUAGGCUUGGCCUGUUUAGUAGGCUAUUUUUGCAGCAUAAAGCUAUAUAUGUGGAAAAAUCCCCCAAUCUGUGUCACAGUUUAGACUACUGAUAGAUGCUGCGGUCAGUCAGUUGAGUCCUAUUGUAAAGUGUAGCCUAAAGGGCAGACUUGCAAUGUAUUCGAUGUUUAAGUACUCUAAAGUUUAACAUUUCUAACUCAAUAUCACAGACCAGAUUUGCCCUAAUGAAAAAUGCAUCAACUCCUGCAACUAUAUAAAUGUAUUAUAAUCCACUUAAUUUGUACAAAAUUAGCUGUAGCAAGAGGAGAGACUGCAUGCUAAAGACGAUCAGAAUGUCUUCAACCUGCAUUGUAAUAUAACUUAGUUUGAAGGAAGAACAGGAAUGAGUGAUUCACUCAGCCUCAUGCUGUUCCUGCAUCUGUUGCCUAUUUGAGUGUUUGUUAAAUAUCCUACUGAUUCUGAGAUCACCAAGCCUCGCGUAACCGCACAAUGUCGGGGAAAGCAAUUUCACAAAUCCGUCUGUUUCUAAACUUUGCUGUGCUGUAUUAAAGGCUAUACAAUUUAUUUUUUUUCUCAGUCAAAUGCAUUCGUGAAUUCAAUCACUUUAGCCAACAUGUUGCUGUUUUACUCAUUGUUUAAUUAUUAAAGGCUCCCGUUGUUUUUUAGUUUUAGAACUAAAAUGCCUGACUGUGUGUUUUAAAGGCAUGGAUGACUUGUAUGUUGUGUGAUGACAUGGACAAAUGAAUGAAUGAUUUAUAUACUGCAUAUUGAAGUAGGUCUUUAUGCCAACAAGUACAUUACGCUAAAACAGCUACAGUAAAU